AAGAAGGAGAUAAAGAGA
rnacentral:sRNA from 1 species